AUGUCCCCGCACCCCACGGAACUCCUUCCCAAAUGCUGCAUUUUCAGAGUCCCCGCACUCUCUACCCCAGGCCUCCCCCGACUCUCACCCCGCGUUCCAAAUCGCACCCUCCAGGCCCCCACUCCGCCUCCCCGCCAGACCCCGCCUUGGGGGUUCCCAGAUGCCCCGGGCCCUGCCCCGCAGGUUACUCCCAGGUCUCUGCGGUUUCCCCCCUCAGCCCUUUUCGAGGUGAGGUUCCCUUGGCCUUCAACUUCUGUAGCUUGUCUAAGUUCAAGUGUCCCUACUGCCUCCAGCCCGCCCCCUCCUCUCCCAGACCUGUCCCAGCCCCCACCUGCCGCGGCCAGACCUACCUGGUGCCAGGGGAGCCUGAUUCCGCCAGCCCCCGGCGAGCCAGCCGGGGCUCACGCAGCUACGAGUGCCGACGUGGGCGAGGGCUGGGGUGCUGCCCGCCUCUGCCCGCCGCCCCCUCUGGACAAGGGAGGAGGAAGCCGCCUCGGACUUCUCUUAUUGCAGCCGCGGGCGGCGGUGGCAGUGGUGGCGGCGGGGAGAAUUCGUUGUCACGCCCCAGCCCCGACCCGGCUGCCCGCAGUGGGGAGGGGCCCCCAGAUCCAGGCCCGCCCGCCCUCACUUCCCGCCGGCCCCUGGUUGUGGGGGUCGGCUCUCCCAGGCCUCUCCCCGCACCCCGGCUGCUUUCCCAGCCCCUGCCCCAGGCAGAGCUUUCCCGAUGGUUCCCGACCGACACCUGUGCUGUGGGCAUCCCUGGGGUGGGGGAAGAUGGGCUUUUCUCUGCCACAGGAAGGCCAGUUCCUCCUGGGGAAGCCCAGGAACAGGUCCACUCAGCCAGAGGACCUCAGACUGCUGUCACCGGAGCCGCUGCUGUGGAUGCUGUCUCUGUGCCUGGGGAGGGUAGGGAGCAGCCAGAGACUUCCCUCGGGCCACAUCCAGUGGGGGAGGGGUGUCGCUCCCCACAGCUCUGUUUUAGAGAAAGCGAAGCCUCCUCUUCUGUUACAGUCCCAGCCUUUGCCGCUAGUAGUGAGUCCUGACCCCUGGCCUGGGGUUCCACCCCUGCUUCCACCGUUGCCUCUGCAGCCUCAAACCAAGCACUAG
rnacentral:lncRNA from 1 species